rnacentral:rRNA from 1 species
GAUGAACGCUGGCGGCGUGCUUAACACAUGCAAGUCGAACGAAGCGAUUGUGAUUGAGAUUUCGGUUGAUUGAUCAAUUGACUUAGUGGCGGACGGGUGAGUAACGCGUGGGUAACCUGCCUCGUACAGGGGGAUAACAGUUAGAAAUGACUGCUAAUACCGCAUAACCCGCUAGGGCCGCAUGGCCCGGACGGAAAGGAUUUAUCGGUACGAGAUGGACCCGCGUCUGAUUAGCUAGUUGGUGAGGUAACGGCCCACCAAGGCGACGAUCAGUAGCCGGCCUGAGAGGGUGACCGGCCACAUUGGGACUGAGACACGGCCCAAA